rnacentral:rRNA from 1 species
CCUACGGGAGGCAGCAGUGGGGAAUCUUGGACAAUGGGCGCAAGCCUGAUCCAGCCAUGCCGCGUGAGUGAAGAAGGCCUUAGGGUUGUAAAACUCUUUCGCCGGAGAAGAUAAUGACGGUAUCCGGAGAAGAAGCCCCGGCUAACUUCGUGCCAGCAGCCGCGGUAAUACGAAGGGGGCUAGCGUUGUUCGGAAUUACUGGGCGUAAAGCGCACGUAGGCGGGUUUGUAAGUAUGGGGUGAAAUCCCCGGGCUCAACCCGGGAACUGCCUUAUAGACUGCAAGCCUGGAGGUCAGGAGAGGCGAGUGGAAUUCCGAGUGUAGAGGUGAAAUUCGUAGAUAUUCGGAGGAACACCAGUGGCGAAGGCGACUCGCUGGACUGAUACUGACGCUGAGGUGCGAAAGCGUGGGGAGCAAACAGGAUUAGAUACCCCAGUAGUC